rnacentral:rRNA from 1 species
GUAGGGAAUAUUGGACAAUGGGGGGAACCCUGAUCCAGCCAUGCCGCGUGGAGGAAGACUGCCCUCUGGGUUGUAAACUCCUUUUAUAUGGGAAGAACCGUCCUCAUUAAUGAGUGACCUGACGGUACCAUAGGAAUAAGCACCGGCUAUCUCCGUGCCAGCAGCCGCGGUAAUACGGAGGGUGCAAGCGUUAUCCGGAUUCACUGGGUUUAAAGGGUGCGUAGGCGGAUAAAUAAGUCAGUGGUGAAAUCAACGGGCUCAACCUGUUAACUGCCAUUGAUACUGUGUAUCUUGAAUAUGAGAGAGGUAGGCGGAAUGUUGCAUGUAGCGGUGAAAUGCUUAGAUAUGCUACGGAACACCGAUUGCGAAGGCAGCUUACUAUUUCGUAAUUGACGCUGAGGCACGAAAGCGUGGGUAGCGAACAGGAUUAGAAACCCUUGUAGUCC